CCUACGGGCGGCAGCAGUGAGGAAUAUUGGUCAAUGGACGAGAGUCUGAACCAGCCAAGUAGCGUGAAGGAUGACUGCCCUAUGGGUUGUAAACUUCUUUUAUAUGGGAAUAAAAUGUUCCACGUGUGGGAUUUUGUAUGUACCAUAUGAAUAAGGAUCGGCUAACUCCGUGCCAGCAGCCGCGGUAAUCCGGAGGAUCCGAGCGUUAUCCGGAUUUAUUGGGUUUAAAGGGAGCGUAGGUGGAUUGUUAAGUCAGUUGUGAAAGUUUGCGGCUCAACCGUAAAAUUGCAGUUGAAACUGGCAGUCUGGAGUACAGUAGAGGUGGGCGGAAGUCGUGGUGUAGCGGUGAAAUGCUUAGAUAUCACGAAGAACUCCGAUUGCGAAGGCAGCUCACUGGACUGCAACUGACACUGAGGCUCGAAAGUGUGGGUAUCAAACAGGAUUAGAUACCCGAGUAGUC
rnacentral:rRNA from 1 species